GGGUUGUGAGGUUAAGCGACUAAGCGUACACGGUGGAUGCCCUGGCAGUCAGAGGCGAUGAAGGACGUGCUAAUCUGCGAUAAGCGUCGGUAAGGUGAUAUGAACCGUUAUAACCGGCGAUUUCCGAAUGGGGAAACCCAGUGUGUUUCGUCACACUAUCAUUAACUGAAUCCAUAGGUUAAUGAGGCGAACCGGGGGAACUGAAACAUCUAAGUACCCCGAGGAAAAGAAAUCAACCGAGAUUCCCCCAGUAGCGGCGAGCGAACGGGGAGCAGCCCAGAGCCUGAAUCAGUGUGUGUGUUAGUGGAAGCGUCUGGAAAGGCGCGCGAUACAGGGUGACAGCCCCGUACACAAAAAUGCACAUACUGUGAGCUCGAUGAGUAGGGCGGGACACGUGGUAUCCUGUCUGAAUAUGGGGGGACCAUCCUCCAAGGCUAAAUACUCCUGACUGACCGAUAGUGAACCAGUACCGUGAGGGAAAGGCGAAAAGAACCCCGGCGAGGGGAGUGAAAAAGAACCUGAAACCGUGUACGUACAAGCAGUGGGAGCCUCUUUAUGGGGUGACUGCGUACCUUUUGUAUAAUGGGUCAGCGACUUAUAUUCUGUAGCAAGGUUAACCGAAUAGGGGA
rnacentral:rRNA from 1 species